rnacentral:rRNA from 1 species
CCUACGGGCGGCAGCAGUGGGGAAUAUUGGGCAAUGGGCGCAAGCCUGACCCAGCAACGCCGCGUGAAGGAAGAAGGCUUUCGGGUUGUAAACUUCUUUUGACAGGGAAGAGUAGAAGACGGUACCUGCCGAAUAAGCCACGGCUAACUACGUGCCAGCAGCCGCGGUAAUACGUAGGUGGCAAGCGUUGUCCGGAUUUACUGGGUGAAAAGGGCGUGUAGCCGGGUUGACAAGUCAGAUGUGAAAUCCUGCGGCUUAACCGCAGAACUGCAUGUGAAAGUGGUGGUCUUGAGUACUGGAGAGGCAGACGGAAUUCCUGGUGUAGCGGUGACAUGCGUAGAUAUUAGGAAGAACACCAGUGGCGAAGGCGGUCUGCUGGACAGCAACUGACAGUGAGGCGCGAAAGCGUGGGGAGCAAACAGGAUUAGAUACCCGUGUAGUC